ensembl:snoRNA
CCCUUAUGAUGAUUUGCCAUGCUAAUACUGAGACACCAGGUAGGGAAUUUUACCCUGUAUUGGUAAGUUGUGUGAGAGGGCAAAAGCAUGCCAUAUUAUGGUA